CUUGGUCAUUUAGAGGAAGUAAAAGUCGUAACAAGGUUUCCGUAGGUGAACCUGCGGAAGGAUCAUUACCUAGAGUUGUAGGCUUUGCCUGCUAUCUCUUACCCAUGCCUUUUGAGUACCUUCGUUUCCUCGGCGGGUUCGCCCGCCGAUUGGACAAUUUAAACCAUUUGCAGUUGCAAUCAGCGUCUGAAGAAACAUAAUAGUUACAACUUUCAACAACGGAUCUCUUGGUUCUGGCAUCGAUGAAGAACGCAGCGAAAUGCGAUAAGUAGUGUGAAUUGCAGAAUUCAGUGAAUCAUCGAAUCUUUGAACGCACAUUGCGCCCCUUGGUAUUCCAUGGGGCAUGCCUGUUCGAGCGUCAUUUGUACCUUCAAGCUCUGCUUGGUGUUGGGUGUUUGUCUCGCCUCUGCGUGUAGACUCGCCUCAAAACAAUUGGCAGCCGGCGUAUUGAUUUCGGAGCGCAGUACAUCUCGCGCUUUGCACUCAGAACGACGACGUCCAAAAGUACAUUUUUACACUCUUGACCUCGGAUCAGGUAGGGAUACCCGCUGAACUUAAGCAUAUCAAUAAGCGGAGGAAAAGAAACCAACAGGGAUUGCCCUAGUAACGGCGAGUGAAGCGGCAACAGCUCAAAUUUGAAAUCUGGCGUCUUUGGCGUCCGAGUUGUAAUUUGCAGAGGGCGCUUUGGCAUUGGCAGCGGUCCAAGUUCCUUGGAACAGGACGUCACAGAGGGUGAGAAUCCCGUACGUGGUCGCUAGCCUCUACCGUGUAAAGCCCCUUCGACGAGUCGAGUUGUUUGGGAAU
rnacentral:sRNA from 1 species